rnacentral:rRNA from 1 species
CCGAUAGUGAACCAGUACCGUGAGGGAAAGGCGAAAAGAACCGCGGCGAGGGGAGUGAAAAAGAACCUGAAACCGUGUACGUACAAGCAGUAGGAGCCUCUUUAUGGGGUGACUGCGUACCUUUUGUAUAAUGGGUCAGCGACUUAUAUUCUGUAGCAAGGUUAACCGUAUAGGGGAGCCGUAGGGAAACCGAGUCUUAACUGGGCGAAUGAGUUGCAGGGUAUAGACCCGAAACCCGGUGAUCUAUCCAUGGGCAGGUUGAAGGUUGGGUAACACUAACUGGAGGACCGAACCGACUAAUGUUGAAAAAUUAGCGGAUGACUUGUGGAUGGGGGUGAAAGGCCAAUCAAACCGGGAGAUAGCUGGUUCUCCCCGAAAGCUAUUUAGGUAGCGCCUCGUGAAUUCAUCUUCGGGGGUAGAGCACUGUUUCGACUAGGGGGUCAUCCCGACUUACCAACUCGAUGCAAACUGCGAAUACCGAAGAAUGUUAUCACGGGAGACACACGGCGGGUGCUAACGUCCGUCGUGAAGAGGGAAACAACCCAGACCGCCAGCUAAGGUCCCAAAGUCAUGGUUAAGUGGGAAACGAAGUGGGAAGGCUCAGACAGCCAGGAUGUUGGCUUAGAAGCAGCCAUCAUUUAAAGAAAGCGUAAUAGCUCACUGGUCGAGUCGGCCCGCGCGGAAGAUGUAACGGGGCUAAACCAUGCACCGAAGCUGCGGCAGCGA